rnacentral:rRNA from 1 species
CAAGUCGAACGCAGUCCUUCGGGACUUGAGUGGCGCACGGGUGAGUAGCGCGUGGGAACCUGCCCUGUUGUGGGGGAUAACCGGGGGAAACUCCGGCUUAAUACCGCAUGCGCCCGGCGAGUGAUCGCCGGGGAAAGAUUUAUCGCAGCAGGAGGGGCCCGCGUCCGAUUAGGUAGUUGGUGGGGUAACGGCCUACCAAGCCGAUGAUCGGUAGCUGGUCUAAGAGGAUGAUCAGCCACACUGGGACUGAGACACGGCCCAGACUCCUACGGGAGGCAGCAGUGGGGAAUAUUGGACAAUGGGCGCAAGCCUGAUCCAGCAAUGCCGCGUGAGUGAGGAAGGCCUUAGGGUUGUAAAAACUUUCGGCGGGGACGAUGAGACGGUUCCGCAGAA